UUUAGAGUGUUUAAUAUAGGCGGGGGAAUACGGGAAGGGGACAUUUUGCCAAUGGAUUCCAGUUAAAGCAGCAGAGCGACACUUCAGUAAACAGUAGGGGUAAGAUAGAGUGGAAACAGCCAAGAUUUCAAGCCUAGUAAUAAGUAACUUCUACAUCCCUACUCAUCACAGGCCUUUUUGUCUAUCCCAGAAACACACACUUUUCCUGAAAAAACAAAGCACUGGAAGGAUUACCAAGUCUAGAAAGAACCCGCCCUCCCCAAACUA
rnacentral:lncRNA from 1 species